UACGGGAGGCAGCAGUGGGGAAUAUUGCACAAUGGGCGCAAGCCUGAUGCAGCCAUGCCGCGUGUAUGAAGAAGGCCUUCGGGUUGUAAAGUACUUUCAGUCGUGAGGAAGGUGUUAAGGUUAAUAACCUUAGCAAUUGACGUUAGCGACAGAAGAAGCACCGGCUAACUCCGUGCCAGCAGCCGCGGUAAUACGGAGGGUGCGAGCGUUAAUCGGAAUUACUGGGCGUAAAGGGCACGCAGGCGGUUAAUUAAGUUGGAUGUGUAAUCCCCGGGCUUAACCUGGGAAUGGCAUUCAAGACUGGUUAGCUAGAGUCUUGUAGAGGGGGUAGAAUUCCAUGUGUAGCGGUGAAAUGCGUAGAGAUGUGGAGGAAUACCGGUGGCGAAGGCGGCCCCUGGACAAAGGCUGACGCUCAUGUGCGAAAGCGUGGGGAGCAAACAGGGAUUAGAUACC
rnacentral:rRNA from 1 species